GACGAACGCUGGCGGCGUGCUUAACACAUGCAAGUCGAACGGAAAGGCCCUGCUUUUGUGGGGUGCUCGAGUGGCGAACGGGUGAGUAACACGUGAGUAACCUGCCCUUGACUUUGGGAUAACUUCAGGAAACUGGGGCUAAUACCGGAUAGGAGCUCCUGCUGCAUGGUGGGGGUUGGAAAGUUUCGGCGGUUGGGGAUGGACUCGCGGCUUAUCAGCUUGUUGGUGGGGUAGUGGCUUACCAAGGCUUUGACGGGUAGCCGGCCUGAGAGGGUGACCGGCCACAUUGGGACUGAGAUACCGCCCUGAAUCCUACGGGAGGCAGCAGUGGGGAAUAUUGCACAAUGGGCGGAAGCCUGAUGCAGCAACGCCGCGUGCGGGAUGACGGCCUUCGGGUUGUAACCCGCUUUCGCCUGUGACGAAGCGUGAGUGACGGUAAUGGGUAAAGAAGCACCGGCUAACUACGUG
rnacentral:rRNA from 1 species